rnacentral:rRNA from 1 species
CCUACGGGUGGCAGCAGUGAGGAAUAUUGGUCAAUGGACGAGAGUCUGAACCAGCAAAGUCGCGUGAAGGAUGACUGCCCUAUGGGUGGUAAACUUCUUUUAUAUGGGAAUAAAAUGUUCCACGUGUGGGAUUUUGUAUGUACCAUAUGAAUAAGGAUCGGCUAACUACGUGCCAGCAGCCGCGGUAAUACGGAAGGUCCGAGCGUUAUCCGGAUUUAUAGGGUGUAACGGGGGGGUAGGUGGGUUGUUAAGUCAGUUGUGAAAGUUGGGGGCUCAACCGUCAAAUUGCAGUUGAAACGGGCAGUCUUGAGUACAGUAGAGGUGGGCGGAAUUCGUGGUGUAGCGGUGAAAUGCUUAGAUAUCACGAAGAACUCCGAUUGCGAAGGCAGCUCACUGGACUGCAACUGACACUGAGGCUCGAAAGUGUGGGUAUCAAACAGGAGUAGAUACCCGUGUAGUC